rnacentral:rRNA from 1 species
UAGGGAAUAUUGGUCAAUGGGCGAAAGCCUGACCCAGCAACGCCGCGUGAAGGAUGAAGUAUUUCGGUAUGUAAACUUCGAAAGAAUAGGAAGAAUAAAUGACGGUACUAUUUAUAAGGUCCGGCUAACUACGUGCCAGCAGCCGCGGUAAUACGUAGGGACCAAGCGUUGUUCGGAUUUACUGGGCGUAAAGGGCGCGUAGGCGGCAUGACAAGUCACUUGUGAAAUCUCUGGGCUUAACCCAGAACGGCCAAGUGAUACUGUCGCGCUAGAGUGCAGAAGGGGCAAUCGGAAUUCUUGGUGUAGCGGUGAAAUGCGUAGAUAUCAAGAGGAACACCUGAGGUGAAGACGGGUUGCUGGGCUGACACUGACGCUGAGGCGCGAAAGCCAGGGGGAGCAAACGGGAUUAGAUACCCAUGUAGUCCCUGAGCGGGCUGGCAAGGCGCAU